rnacentral:tRNA from 1 species
AAAUUUAAAAGUAUUCUUAUAUCACCUCUUAU